rnacentral:rRNA from 1 species
UACAGAGGGGGCAAGCGUUAUUCGGAAUUAUUGGGCGUAAAGAGCUCGUAGGCGGCUUGUCACGUCGGGUGUGAAAGCCCGGGGCUUAACCCCGGGUCUGCAUUCGAUACGGGCAGGCUAGAGUGUGGUAGGGGAGAUCGGAAUUCCUGGUGUAGCGGUGAAAUGCGCAGAUAUCAGGAGGAAGGCCGGUGGCGAAGGCGGAUCUCUGGGCCAUUACUGACGCUGAGGAGCGAAGGCGUGGGGAGCGAACAGG